AAAAGAUUUCCAAAUAUCAAGUCUAAGUAUAUGUAACUAGAGCACAACCCACCAACAAAAAUGUACAUGGACACAUCAUCGUGAAGACACACCGAGUAAAGAAAUUAGCAAGGUAUAUAUAGGAAAAUGUAAACAGCACAGGGUUACAUACACAUACACAAUUUUCUCUCCUCCAAGUUAAAACUAGUUAGUAAGUAUACAUGUAUACUUCCAGGUGGCGUGCCCCAACCCACCGACAUGCUACCUGUGCAAGGAUACCGGGCACCCCGCGAUUCUCUGUCCGGACCGCCCGGUGACUGAGGAGCUCAUGAUGUAUGGGCACGGCAUCGAGGACUUGGCCUUCUUCCACAUCGAGGUGCCCGAGCUCCCCCCGCCAUCCCCCUCGCUGCUGGCUUUGGUGACGGUUGUGGGUGAUGCCGUCGCCACCCCGGAGCUGAUUGAAGCUGAGCUCAACCACUUGUGCAGAUGCACGUGGGACUGGCAGGUGACCCCAUGGCUCCCAGCGCCUUCUCAGUGGUCUUCCCUGACGCGAUGAGCAUGGGAUUCUGCACGUGCAGCAACAACAUCACCCUGGCUCUCAACGACAUCGUGGUGAACAUCUUUGAGCCGCAGUAGGAUCCCAGAGCCGUCGCUACCCUGGACACGGCUUGGCUCCUCAUCUCCGGCCUCCCUGAUGUUGCCCGGUCCGAGCGGGUCAUCCGCAGUAUGUCCAAGAUCCUGGGCAGGGUGGUGGUGGUUGACGAGCUCUCCUGCGCAAGGAGGAGGAGGUUCGGGUUAAGGUGAAAUGCCUGGACUCCUCCAAGCUCCUCGUCACGAUCCGUGUCUUCUUCAACGAUGACGGCUACGACCUCAAGAUCCGCCCCGAGCCUCCGUCCCACGUCGGCCGCCCCCGCCUCUCUGCUGGCAGCCUCAUGGGAGGGGCCGCUGAUGCUGAUGACUCCCACCACCGCCGCUCGCGCUCCUCCCGCUUCGACGACCCUGCCGAGGACGAGGAUGAGUCGGAGCACUCUCGCUCCCCGUCUCGGGACCCCCCCAACCCUCCAGCGGGUCGGGGCGGGUCGGGGUCGGGGCGUACCCGGGUAUCGGCCGCCGAUCUCGCGAUGGCCCUCCGCCUGGCCACCCCGCUGGCUUCCUCCCCGUCUCCGUCGGCGUCGACCGGCGACAUCUCCAGCGUGAGCCUCCUCAUCGCCCCUUCAUCGUCGCCCCGCUCCCCCGGCGCCGCCUCUGCCCGCCGCCUCGCGCCGCCGGGGGCUGAGCCCACGCCCUCCGCCGGCUCGCCUUCUCCGGUUUCUUUCGGGGUUGGCGGUGUCGGGGCGUCUCUGGGGCCGUCUGAUCCACCCCCCGCGCCGGUGCCGUCUGGCUACCACCUCGCCUCGCCGGCUUCCCCCGACACCUCGGUGGCGGUGGACGUCUCCUCCCCGGCCUCUGCGCACCCCCCUCCGACGGUGGCGUACGCCAGGAGGCCCCGCUCCACCUCGACGCCGGUGACGUCCUCUCACCGCAGCGCCCGCCUGGAGGCGGCGCGGCCGGGCGACUCCCCUGCGCCUUCCGUCGCCGAGCGGGCGGAGCUCCGCGCCGCGGUCCGGAACCUCGAGUCAGGUGCGGACCCCGCCCCUCCCGGUUCUUCUCGUUGCUCCUUUUCUGCUCUCGAGGCCGCUCCUCUCGGCCACCUCGCUAAGGUGGCCAAUGACUCGGCCAUUGUCUUCAGGGGGGAGGUCGGCCCCCCCUUAGAUCAGAUCGCGGCCAUUAGGGCCCGGGAGAUCCUCGUCGGCAGGCUGGCUGAGACUCAUGCCCGCCUGCUUCGGCCCCCGGAGGGCCCACCCUCCACCCCCGCGGCUCCGGCUCCUCCGGUGGCCGACGGGAUUAUCCGUGGACGCACUCGGUCUCGCACGGCCGCCCUUCACGCGCAAAGCGCCUCUCGUGUCUUGGGGUCAAGCAGCCCCCCGAUGGGGGUUUAGAUGCGGGCCCUCUUCUGGAACCUCCGCGGCUUCGGCCAUGAUGGUCGUCGCCGCCAGCUCAUCGAGUACAUCCGGGAAGAACACAUUGACAUCGUGGCCAUCCAAGAAACCCUUCGCUCCGAGUUCACCCUGCCGGAGCUUGAACACCUAAGCCCCCACCUCUUCGCUUGGCACUGGCUCCCUUCUAGUGGGACCUCAGGCCACUCGGGUGGCAUCCUCUUAGGGGUUAAGGAUGCCACAUUUGAGGUGGGAGGCAUGGAUAGAGGGGAAUUCUUCGUUAGUAUGGAGAUCUUCGAGCGUGCCCUGAACUUCAAAUGGGAGGUCAUUGUUGUCUACGGACCGGCGGAUCACCGCCGCUCCCCGGCCUUCCUUGACGAGUUGCAGCUGAAGAUUUCUAACUCCCCCCUCCCUGUUUUAGUGGGAGGCGACUUCAAUCUCAUCCGAUCCCCGGAUGAGAAGAAUAAUUCCCGGAUUAAUUUUCCCCGGAUGCAAUUAUUCAAUGAUUGGAUUGCGGAGCUGGGGCUCCGCGAGCUUGACCGGACAGGUGCCAGGUUCACUUGGACCAACCGGCAAGCUAUCCCAACACAAUCCGUGCUGGAUCGUGUCCUAGUGUCCCCGGAGUGGGAAUUGCGUUGCCCCUUGGCAUCGCUCCGGGCGGUCACCCGGAUUGGCUCCGAUCAUGUCCCCCUUCUCCUCUCCACCGCCGACGAGCGCCCCCCCUCCCCGCCGCGGUUCCGGUUCGAGCUCUUCUGGCUCAACCAAACCGGCUUUCGGGAGGCCGUCGUCGUCCGCUGGAUUUCCGCUAGGUCGGCGCCCCAUCGCUCCCUGUCCGCUGUCGACUCAUGGCACUUUUGUGCCAAGCUUGCCCGCCAGUUCAUGAAGGGUUGGGGGGCUAACCUUGGCCGGGACCUUAGAGAGCGCAAGAAGACCAUCCUGAUUGCUAUUCAAGCCCUGGAUGCUCGCGCGGACUCGACCGGGCUCUCCUCGGAUGAGUGGAUGCUACGUUACGACCUGGAGGACCAGCUCUCCACUAUCUACACGGAUGAGGAGGCCUACUGGUGCUUGCGUGGUACCCAGAGGUGGGUGCUACAGGGCGAUGCCAACACCGCCUAUUUCCAGGCGGUCGCGAACGGCCGGCGCCGUCGCAACUCCAUCCACUGCCUGUGGGAUGGAGACUCGCCGUUAGUUCUCCCUGCGGCCAACCGCUCUCAUGUGGAUGACUUCUAUCGAGCCUUAUUUACCCCCACCCCGCGCGGUGGGGCUAGUCUCGCCCCCGACAUUUGGUCGGGCGCGCACGUAGUCUUGGAUGAAGCCAAUGCGGCUUUGGUUGCCCCCUUUAGCGAGGACGAGGUCCUCGCUGCCAUUAAGGGGAUGAACCCCUCCUCGGCCCCGGGAUCGGACGGUCUACCAGUGUCUUUCUUCAAGACGUUCUGGCCUACCAUCAAGCUUGAUGUCAUGGCUCUCUUUGAGGAAUUCUACUCGGGCUCCAUGGACCUGGGGCGCCUUAAUUAUGGGGUUGUGACCCUCAUCCCCAAGGUCCCGGGCGCCUCCGAUAUUCGCCAGUUCCGCCCCAUCACAGUGCUUAAUGUGAUUUUUCGGAUCCUGGCUAAAGGGUACGCCAAUAGGGUGACCCUCCUUGCGGACUCAAUCACCCACCCGAACCAAUCCGCCUUCAUUCAAGGCCGAUUUAUCCUGGAUGGGGUGUUGGUGUUCCACGAAGUCCUCCACGAGGUCCGCCUGAAGCGCCAUAGGGCGGUCUUUCUUAAGCUGGACUUCCACAAAGCCUACGACACGAUGCACUGGCCGUUCCUGAGGGAGGUCCUGCUCCGCAAGGGCUUCGAUGACCGUUGGGUGACCCGCGUCAUGCAGCUCGUCUCCUGUGGUCGGACUGCGGUGAACAUCAACGGCGACAUUGGGCCCUUCUUCCCUACCCUUUGCGGGGUCCGGCAGGGAGAUCCCUUCUCGCCGUUCUUGUUCAACAUGGUCGUGGAUGCCCUGGCCGCCAUCUUGGAUAAGUCCAUGGCUGCUGGGCAUAUUCGAGGCCUUGUCCCGCACCUUGUUGGAGGGGGUGGUGUUUCCCUUCUCCAAUACGCGGAUGACACCAUUAUUAUGGUCGAGGGUUCCGCCCUAGAGAUCUCCAACCUGAAGUUCCUUCUUCUGUGCUUCCAACAAAUGUCGGGCCUCACCAUCAACUUUGAUAAGAGCGAAGUGAUGGUACUCGGUUACCCCUCAGAGGACGCACAGUCCAUUGCCGACCGGCUUAACUGUCGGCUGGGUUCUUUCCCCACAACCUAUCUGGGGAUCCCCAUUAGUGACACGCGCCUCACCGUGGCGGACCUCCGCCUCACGGUGACCCGUAUGCAACAUCGCGUAGAGCCCUGGAAAGGGCGUUGGCUGUUGAAGGCGGCGCGCGUGAUCCUUAUCAACUCCUCGCUAGCUAGCCUCCUGUGGUUCCUCAUGAGCUUCUAUAGCCUUCAUGAAACGCUCCAUCAGGAGGUCGCCAAAUACCAGUCCAGAUUCUUCUGGGCUGGGGAGGAGGGCAAGCAGAAAUACCACAUGGUCAGCUGGCCAGAUAUCUGCAAACCCAAGGACCAGGGCGGUCUUGGGAUUCUGUCCUCUCGGCGCAUGAACAUCGCCCUCUUGACCCGCUGGAUCUGGCGCAUUGCCAAUGGGGAUGGAGGCCUCUGGCUCACUAUCAUCCAGAACAAGUACCUGCGUGGACAGCCACUCGCGUUCUACCAACGCUCUGGCGGUUCCCAGUUUUGGCAGGCCGUCGUCCAGCUACUGCCGGUCUUGCGUAUAGGCACAUCCAUCUCGGUGGGCACUGGAGCCUCGACCUUGUUCUGGCUGGAUAGAUGGCUCGGAGAUGCCCCUCUAGCCACCCGGUUCCCCAUCCUAUUCGACAUUGUAGUUGACCCUCGGGUCUCAGUCGAGGCGGCCCUUAUUGACUUAGGGCGCCUCGCGUUCCGCCGCCCUUUUGGCCCCGCUGAGGUGGCUGCCUGGGAUGUCCUCCUCCAGGACAUCGCCCUCUUACCUAUGGACGUGGCCGACUCUCCGGACGCCAUCUCCUGGCGCCUAGAUCCUUCCGGCUGCUUCUCCACUAAAUCCCUCUACGCGGCUAUUGCCCCCUCGUCAGCCCCGGAGCCCUUCGGUCUGAUCUGGGACAUCCGCCUCCCCCUAAAGAUUUGGAUCUUUCUUUGGCAAUGGAUCCGCGGCCGCCUCCCGACCGGCGUUGAGGUUCUUAAGCGCCAUGGUCCUGGCGAUGGAAUGUGCCCCCUGUGUGGCACGGUAGAGGACGCUAAUCACAUCUUCUUCUCUUGCUACACGGCACAGUUCCUUUGGUCUUGUUUCCGCGAAACGGUUGGGGGACAUUGGUGCAACACCAACUUCCCUGACUUGCUUGCGGAAAUUCAAGCCUCCCCCCUCGCUACAGACAUAUUAGAUGGCUGUGCGUCGGGGUUCUCGCCUGGACGCUGUGGACGGUUCGCAAUAAGCUUGUCAUUCAGAAGGUGCCCCUUCGGCGUGCUACUGACUCCAUCUUUAAAAUGUGUGGUUACUUGCAGCUCUGGCGGCCGCUUAGCCGCCCUCAGGACCGGGACGCCAUCAACAGACUCCUCACCGACCUCCGUUCGUUGGCCUUCCGCCUGGCGCCUCCGCUCCCGCCGCCACCCCUGGAGCCCGACUAGAGGAUGUUUCCCUCCUGGCGCGUGUGCCUUUUUGUGUGUGUGUGUUGGGCUUGUUGAGCUGUGCCCUCAGCCGUAACCCUUGAUGCUUGCUUUUGUUUGGACUCUGUGUGCGUGUGGACUGUGUGUGUGUGGACCUGUUGGAUGUUGGCUUUGGCAUUGGCUUUAUAUAUAAAGCGGGGCGUGAGCCUUUUUCGGUAAAAGGUAUACAUGUAUUUAGUUAAUCAUCAUGGUACGCAAUGCACUAUAGUGUAUAAUAGUACGUAUAUGUCAACUCAGCUAAUUGCAUACAAGCAGCAAUGGAGCAGCGGAAUAAUGAAACAUGGUGAAGGAUGGAGUUA
rnacentral:lncRNA from 1 species